rnacentral:tRNA from 1 species
UGGAGCGGGUGAUGGGAAUCGAACCCACGCUAUCGGCUUGGAAGGCCGAAGUUCUACCAUUGAACUACACCCGC